UUUUAAGUGACCUUACAUCUAACAUGGGGUUCAAACCUACAACCUCAAGAUUAAGAUUUCACACU